GUUGAGCGGAAUGUUGUCUGGCUCGAGGAGGAGGAAUUAUUCUUGUUUAUCUCCUCGGACCAGGCUUCAUUCCCCCCAGC
rnacentral:pre_miRNA from 1 species